rnacentral:lncRNA from 1 species
UUUCAGACUCCUAUAGAUGUGUGGAAAAUAUGAUGUACAAAUGAUAGAGGCCCGAAGCCUAGGAACAGAAGAAAUUAAAGAACAAAAAGGCAACAUCAAACUAAUGUUUUAAUCAUGGUACGAUAGGAACACAGAUCACACGAACAAAAACACUUGCAGCUAAUAUAAUACGUCUAUCUCCCCUCAAUUAAACAUUUUUUGCCACCUUGUUCUUGUCAGCAUCAACCCUUGCACGGAUGCUUGUAAUUGCAGCGCCGGGUCGGCCUCAGAUCACGACCUCUCAACCUGAAUAUAGAGAGGAUAUCAAUCAAAACGUGUUCGUAUUACCAUAAUAAACAUACUAAGAUUCACUAGCUUUGCAAGCAAUUGCACUCCUAAUCAGAGAAGAAGACGAUAGGUAAGUACCUGGCAGCAGCGUCACGCGCGUCUUCCUCCGCGUCUUGGUCCCUGAACCAACGCAGAAGAUUCUCCCGCUCCUCGGCGCGCAGAUGCGGGUAAGCAGCCAUCAUCCGCCACAUCUCCACCUUGUCAAGCAGCGCGCCGACGAAGGAACACAGCGCGGCGUAGGUGGAGGACAGCACGGAUCCCAUCGCCGCGCUUCGGCUCGAUGCGGUCUCUGCAGACACUCGAGCGAGCUAGGGCGGCUUGACUGCACAGGAUCGGUCUCGAGCGAGGGCGGGCGCCGGCGGAGCGGCCUCGCGGGGGGACUGGGGGAAUCGGGGUCUCGGGGAGGUGGCGGCGGCCGCCUGGUGUGCGGGGUGCGGCUGGGAGGAACGAAGGGGACUGCGGACCGGGAAGUGAGCGAGAGAGGUUAGGGUUAGGUUUUUCAAUUUAUAUACGCAGGCCAAGGGGAGCAGCUGGGGACGAAGGGAUAGGCUGGGCCACUCGAAGAUGGGCUGGUGGGGAAAUUGCUGUUACCUGGCCCGUAUACGGGAAUAACUGAUGGGAACUUUCCAGCGAAAUCGAAAAAAAUGGGUGGAAAAAUCCUUCCCUUGAUUUCGACCUAUAUUUUUUAUUUUUAUCCUAUAUUCCGACUAAUUUCGGAUUAUGCCCGAAAAAUAGGUAACGAACGCUAAAAUCGGUAGCAGCAGUCGAUCAGAAAAUUUUCCAUACUAAAUCGGUAGUAGCAGUCGAUCGGGAAUUUUCCCAUACUGCUUUUAUCCCUAGGUGGGACUGUGUGGGAGGAGGCCCAAACACUGGCAAGAGAAAGAGGAGCGAGACUAUGGGCUUGUGGAGGCGCUAGACGGGAAGGAUCGAUAAGGUCUGAUACCGGACAUCUUACAGAUUUAACUAUUACUUAUAUCUUAAGCACUUCGUAUUUGAUUACAAAACUUUGAAAUGCCAUAUUCAUUCAAAACUUCCAACGUAUCUCUAUCAAACCACGUAUCAAAAGUUUGUACACCGAACUUAAAACAUUUCAAAUAUAUAUUUCAAACCUUCAUAUAUCUCCAUCCUCCAAGCCAUGUAUCAAAACAUUUCUAUUAGCACCUUACAACUUGGAAAUGGCAUAUUCGAUCAAAAACCUCGUACAUGUGCCACAUCAUCAAAGAAUGUAGCAAUCUAGUGUAUCUAAGUGUUCGUUUCCUUUUGGGUGUGGCAUGUAAACGGUUGGAGUCCUUCAAGUUUGAAGGCUGACGUACAUUCGCACGCUUUUGUACGGAAGGAGGCUGUAGCUAUGAAUAGAGAACGAAAAAAGCGACGACUUGAUGCGACAUGGGAUGUGGAUCGCUCGCUCUGUCUUGUUUCUAUUACGUGCGUGACCUCUCUUCUCUAAGUUAAUCGAUUUAAUUAGCUGCCUCCUUAGCCGGUGUUGUUGGACUGUGCUCGCUCGGAGGGGAGGAUCAAUCUGAUCGUACCGUCGAGGGGGAACUUUGGUCUGGGUGCAGGGGUUUUAAACCGAAUUUUGUCCAAGCGGUGGUCCGAGGCAGAUGACUGACCGAAACAAGCUGCUGAAUUCAGAAGGGAAAAUCAAAACAAGCUGCUGAAUUCAGAAGGGAAAAUCAAGAUAUGUUUUACGUUAUUUUGACUUUUCUAAAUAUAUAUAUUUUUCCCUAUACACAUAGAUUGCACCCAUCGUUGGUUAUUUCAGUUUAGUCCAACAAGUAGCAAAAUACGCAAAUGAAGAUAUGAACUUGUUAAAUGUGUGCAUAUACGGUCACGUACUCACAUGUAUGCUACGUGGAUGUAUUUUGCCAUCGUGGCUAGUGAAAUGGACAGCUUUAUGCACAUGACCUCCUAUCUUUAUCCCACCUUCUCAUCUAAGUCCGUGCAGUUCUUAUUUCUUUUUUAUAUUUGUGAACAGAUAAGUGAAAAGAUGAUUAUUGUAAAUGCAACUUCAGUCAUACAACCGAUAUAUAUUGGAUGGAAAUGUUUCGGAACUUUGUUCAGGGUAAAUUUUACGCGUAGUACUAACAGUUUAGUUCAUUUUGUAGCUUAUUACUGUGCUUAUUAUCAGUUUUGACGAUGCGUGUAGUGUUAUAUGUAGUGAUUUUUUAUUCCGUCCAAGUACAUAGAUAAAAGGCGACAGAAUUAAAGAAACAUAACUAAGCAAAUAACAAAAUAUGAUACUGCUGGAGAGAAAUAUAGCCCAUUUUGUAUGGUUCCUACAUAAGGAAUUACCCAAUGCAACAUGAACGUUGCAUAUUUCAAAUUGAUAGUUGCUGUGCCGUUGAGUAAGUUCCGCGAAAAGUGAUACGACCAAUCUGGGCAUCGAUGUCAGAGGAAUAAGAGUUGUGUGUAUAAUUAGGACAUAGACGAGAAGGGGAGAUAAAGAUAGGGGUUACAUGCAUGAAAACCAUCCUUGUCAGCCACAGUGGCAAAAUACAUCUAUAUGGCAUACAUAUAACCAUAUAUGCACACCUUUAACAAGUUUGUGCAUAUACUUGUAUAGUGUACAUUUUGAAAUUUGUUGGACCAAAAUGAUAUAAUGAUACAAGCUGUUAUAUGGUGGGUGUAAUUUACUCUUAUUUCAACCUAACUCUCCAAAGGGCGAAGCAAGCAAGCUAACUUGCUAAAGAGGCCAAUUAAUUUUAGAUAACAGGGGUUCUUGCAUGCCUAACGAAGACAAUGAGCUACAAAAUUAUCCAUUUCAGGCUAAUAUUUUUAGUAGGACAUGGCUACGCGGAGGGGCUCUUCAUGGAUGCCUAUCGCGGAGGGACUCUCGCGGGCAUUAUCCACUUAGCACAUGAAAAAUAAGAAAAAAAACAAACUAUCCUAGUUGUCGGGGGAAAAUAUUAUCGACCCUUCAAAACCCAUGGAAACAACAAAGACGCGAAGGCCCAAGCCCGCCUAAGGGAAUAACGACUGCCGUCAGCCCAACAUGGGAGGCACAAGUCACGCUCCGCCUCGCCCAACCUCAUGCCCCGGGGUCGGGCGCCCCCAACCUCUAGAGGAAAGAGCUCCGCCUCGCCCGACCACGGGCCUGGGGUCGGGAGCGUCCGACCCCCCACCGCAGGCCUCCGCCUUGCCCGACUCCAGGCGUAGGAGGUCGGGCUGACCUGGGCCCACCAAACGAGUAUCCGCCUCGGGCGCGGAUCUCAUGGGUCCCCCUAUCGAUUCUACCAUAAAUACGCCGCAAAGCUGUCAGAGGGAAGGAUAUCCGCGCCCCCAUGCAACCCGACGCAAGUACCCAUGCGCGGCCGCACAAUACUUGCUACAGUAGCUACGACCUUCUCCGAUUGGCCACAGGGCACUCAUGAUCUGCACCGCCCAGAGCAGGAGGAAGCCUCGCCCGCUCUCGUGCCUCGCGCGCCCGGCGGCAGAGAUGCGACGUCCGCUCUCCGCGGGCCGUCAGCAGGAUGGCAAGAUCCGCCGCCUCCCCCAACGGACACGGGGGUCACGACGAAACACCAUCAUCAUGUCCGGCGGCUACAGUCACCGAGGAAGCCAUCGAUAGGAUGCAGCGGCCGCCACCCUCUUCCGGCAAACGCGCCGGUGGAAGCCGAAGGCCGGCGAGGAUGCCGGCGACCUGGGAACUUGCUCCCCCCCUCGCGUUGUAUUUUUUUACCUAGCCAUAUUUAUCUCUUUACCGCCCCCCACACUCGGUCUCACCUGUAACUCCGGUGGCCUCUUUACGCUAUAAAAAAGGAAUCGGGGGCCCGAGACAGGGGAGGCUGAACGCACAACUCAAGACACCAUAACACUCCCUAGACAACAGAACGCACGAGCGCACCCUGCUAGAGCGUCAGGGCACAUCCAAGAGACUUGGGACCGGUUCCCUCUCUCGCAUUCCUGUAACCCCUACUACAGAACCCCGCGUGGGCAACACGAGCAGCUCCCGAUACUGGACGUAGGGCGUUUCCUUGCCCGAACCAGUCUAAACCCCGUGUCUCCCACGCCACCAUCCGAAACCUUACGCGCGUAAAAGAAAUUUACUAGUCUAAGUCUUGAUCCGCUAAUCCUGACAACGAUAGUUGGCGCGCUAGGUAGGGGACCUUUGCGCGUACAUUUCCGGCUUCAGAUGGCUAGCCACGAGGCCAGCUUCGCUCCGGGCUCCCUGAUCCGCUUCGGGAGUCUGGACUUCCUCGCCACCGGGGAGGGGAUCGAGCUGAUCCCUCUCCUCAUCUUGCCCGCUCGCCCCACCAUCCCCGGCUUCGCCGCCGGGACAGCGGCGAGCGGCCAGGCGCGCGUCGGAGGGCCUUCCUCAGGGGGGGCGGCUCUUCGGGCUACGCAAUGCUGUGGUGACCUACGGUCGCCUCCUGACGCGGUCUAUGACCGUGUCGCCUGCGAGCAACGAGCUCGGAGGCGUGGCGAGGAUGAUUUCCGACGCCAGCUCCGACAACGGGAGCCACUACCCCUCGCGCGAGUGCUUCAUGGCCGACGUACACUCCGAGGGGUCCAACGACGACGGCGCCAAAGGGAGGCAAAGGACUCCCCCACCGCACGUUGCGGCUACGACUGGAGCCCUUAGCAAGGCCCCGGUGCGACCCCGGCAGCCGGAGGCGCGCGCGGCGUCCCGCUAGGAGAUCGAGCGCCCCCGCAACGAAGGCGGGGCACGACAACGAGCGCGCGACGUCCAGCAGCGCAUCUGUGCGGACAAAGAACACCCUCAGCUCUUCGCUCGUGCCAGCCAGAACAUCACCGCCGCAGCAGCCCUACUCCGACGACUCCCCGAGCCGGCGACGCCCGAGGAGCGUCAGGCGCGCCGAGAGGUGCGCAACCUGCUCGAGUGCGCUGCCGUCUAGCAGGCGGAAAGCUCCGCGUCCCGGCGACGCGGGCAAAACGCCAGCAGGGCAGUGCCCGAUGCACCUCCAGAGAGGCGGGGGGAGUCUGUUCACCAGCCUCCUCCUAGGGCAAACCAGGUCGCGUCCGCUUGACGGACACCACCACCCGCAGGAGGUGGGGCUCGACCCGUUCACCGACGUGUCGGUCCUGUCCACGACGCCCGCGACACCCUGGACGCGCGGAGGCGCUCCCGCGCGGACAGGGAGGAGGGGUAGAUCGCGGCUACCACGUCCACCGCGGCGGGCGCUACGACAGCGAAGAAGACCGCAGCCCGAGUCCCGACCCGGCGGGGCCCCGGGCCUUCUCCGCGCGCAUCCUGAACGCGCUGUUUCCGCCGCGCUUCAAGCAACCGACGAAUGUGGUCAAAUACUCGGGGGAGACGAACCCCGGGGUAUGGCUCAGCGACUACCAGCUUGCAUGUCAGGCCGGUGGGGCGGACGAUGACUUGUUCAUCAUCCGCAACCUUCCAGUCUUCCUGGCCGAUUCGGCACGAGCCUGCGGAGAUAUUUGUGGGGAACUUCCAGGGCACGCACACGCACCCCAAAAACUCCUGGGACCUCAGGAGCUGCCGCUAGGGAUCAGACGAAUCCCUCCGGGACUACAUCCGGCGCUUCUCCAGGAAGCGCACUGAGCUCUCCAACGUCGUGGACGCCGACGUCAUAGGGGCCUUCCUGGCAGGAACUUCCUGCCGGCCCCUCAUCCACGAGCUAGGGCGCCGAGGCCCGCGGAUCACGGAGGAGCUCCUCAAUAUUGCCACCAGCUACACCUCAGGCGAAGAGGCCGUUGGAGCAAUCUUCGACCGCUCCAAGGGCAAGGCGAAGCGGGAGGAGGAUGCUGAUGAGGGCACCUCCAACCGCCAGCAGCAGAAGAAGAAGAGCAAGCAGCGGCUCGAGGCCCCCCUCGUGGCUGCUGUUGAGCGCAAGCGAGGACAGCUGCCCCCAGAGGGCACCCCCGGCUUCUUCGACAAGCUUCUCGAGGGACUGUGCUCGAACCACGAGUUCCCCGUGAAGCACGCCUACAAGGACUGCAACCUCAUGAAGAGGUACUUCGUAGGCAACCCAGUGAAAGGCGAUCAAAGAUGGAAGCCUGACGAGGAGAAGAAGGAUGAUGAGGAGAAGGAAGACGGCUUCCCCAAGGUGGACGGCUGCUUCAUGAUCUUCGACGGCCCGGCUGCAUACGACUCCAGGCGCCGUCAGAAGCUGGAGCGUCGUGAAGUCUACGCGGCCGAGCCUGCGACACCGGCCUUCCUCGACUGGUCGGGAUUCGCCAUCACCUUCGACCAGUCCGACCAUCCGGGACGCGUUCGGCAUCCGGGACGCUACCCUCUUGUCGUUGACCCUAUCAUCGGCACGACGCGUCUCACCAAGGUGCUCAUGGACGGAGGCAACGGCCUCAACAUCCUCUACGCCGAGACCCUCGACACCAUGGGGAUUGACCGCUCCCGCCUCUGCCUCAGCAAGGCACCAUUCCACGGCGUCGUGCCAGGAAAACAGGCAAUGCCUCUCGGGCAGAUCGACUUGCCCGUCACUUUCGGGACCCCUUCCAACUACAGAAAGGAGGUCCUUACCUUCGAGGUGGUAGGAUUCCAUGGAACCUACCACGCCAUCUUGGGACGGCCGUGCUACGCCAAGUUCAUGGCCAUCCCCAACUACACCUACCUCAAGCUCAAGCUACCGGGGCCCAACGGGGUCAUUACCGUCGGCACGUCUUUCCAAAAGGCGUAUGAGUGCGACGUAGAGUGCUGCGAGUAUGCUGCGGCCAUUACCUUCACUAAAGAUUUGGCGGUCCAGCUCGCGGAGGGCGCCGAGGACCAGCCCGACCCCAAGAAGUUGGCCACCUCCUUCGAGGCCACCGAAGGCGUCAAGGAGGUCCUCCUCGACCCCAGCGGCUUCGACGUCCGGACUAUGCGGAUUGGCGCUACCCUAUCUCCCAAAUAGGAAAGCGUGCUCGUCGACUUCCUCCGCACGAACAGCGACGUUUUCGCGUGGAAGCCCUUGGACAUGCCCAACAUUUUGAGAGAAGUCGCCGAGCACUCCUUGAACAUCAAGGCCAGCUCCAAGCCAGUAAAGCAAGGUCUGCGCCGCUUCGACGAGGAGAGGCGCAAGGCCAUCGGCGAGGAGCUCCAGAAGCUUUUGGUAGCCGGAUUCAUCAAGGAAGUCUACCACCCUGAGUGGUUAGCUAAUCCUGUUCUUAUAUGAAAAAAGAAUGGGAAAUGGAGGAUGUGUGUUGACUAUACCGGUCUCAGCAAGGCGUGCCCAAAGGAUCCGUUUCCUUUGCCACGCAUAGAUCAGAUAGUCGACUCCACCGCCAGGUGCGAAACCCUCAGCUUCCUUGACGCGUACUCCGGCUACCAUCAGAUCGCGAUGAAGGAGUCUGACCAGCUCGCUACCUCUUUCAUCACCCCUUCGGCCCCUACUGCUACGUCAAGAUGCCAUUCGGCCUCAAAAACGUGGGGGCUACGUUCCAGCGAUGCAUGCUGAAGUGUUUCGGGGACCUCAUCGGGCGAACCGUUGAGGCAGUUGACGACAUCGUAGUCAAAUCCAAAAAGGGUGACCAGCUUGUCCCCGACCUCGAACUGGCCUUCGAAAGGCUCAGAGGCAAGCGUAUUAAGCUCAAUCCUGAAAAAAUGCAUUUUCGGGGUCCCGAGGGGCAUGCUGCUAGGCUUUAUCGUCUCUGUGCGCAGCAUCGAGGCCAAUCCAGAGAAGAUAGCGGCCAUCAGCGGCAUGGCGCCGAUCUGAAAUAUGAAAGGAGCCCAGCGCGUCACAGGAUGUUUGGCGGCUCUGAGCCGUUUCAUCUCGCGCCUUGGCGAACGGGGACUCCCUCUAUAUCGACUCUUAAAGAAGACCGAUCGCUUCGAAUGGACCGUCGAGGCCCAGGAGGCACUUGAUCGGCUCAAGGAUCUUCUGACGAAGGCCCCGAUCCUUGUCCCACCGACCGAUGGUGAGCCCCUCCUGCUCUACAUCGCAGCUACCACCCAGGUGGUUAGCGUGACCCUAGUGGUGGAGCGAGAAGACGAGGGACACGCCCUCAAGGUGCAGCGCCCGGUGUAUUUUGUCAGCGAAGUCCUGUCCGAGUCCAAGGCGCGCUACCCGCAGAUCCAGAAGCUCAUCUACACCAUCCUAAUCACGAAGAGGAAGCUGCGCCACUACUUCACCUCCCAUCCGGUAACGGUUGUUUCGUCAUUCCCACUCGGCGAAGUGAUCCGGAACCAGGACGCCACGGGACGGAUCGCAAAGUGGGCGCUCGAGCUCAUGGACUAGGGCAUCACCUAUGCCUCCCGCACUGCCAUCAAGUCCCAGGUACUCGCCGAUUUUAUAGCGGAGUGGACGGAGAUCCAAACACCAUCGGCGCCGGAGAAGCAGGAGUACUGGACAAUGUACUUCAACGGAUCGUUGAUGAGGGCCCGUGCCGGAGCGGGCCUCGUCUUCGUCUCUCCUCUAGGCGUGUGCAUCAGGUACAUGAUCCGCCUCCACUUCCCUGCAUCCAAUAAUGUCACCGAGUACGAGGCCCUCCUCAAUGGGCUUCGCAUCGCCAUCGAGCUGGGCAUCCGUCGGCUAGACGUCCGGGGCGACUCUCAGCUAGUCGUCGAACAAGUCAUGAAGGAGUGGAGCUGCCACGACCCCAAGAUGGCAGCCUACUGCAACGAAGUUCGCAAGCUUGAAGACAAGUUCGACGGGCUGGAGCUCAACCACGUCGCAAGGCGUUUCAACGAGGUAGCUGAUGAGCUGGCAAAGGCAGCGUCCGGCCGAAAGCCAGUACCCGACGGUGUCUUCGUCAGCGACCAAUUCAAGCCCUCAAUCCGUUGCCAAGAACCGAAGAGGGUCGCCGACGUGCCACCGGCUCCGGACUCGGGCCCCGACCUAGGAGAGGUCGGCAACGCGCCACCUGUCCCGGGCUCGGGCGCUGGCCCUGACAGGGUCGGCAUCGCUUCGCUUGUCUCAGACUCGGAAGCCGACCCCUCCGACCCCACGGUCAUGGAAAUCGUGGCAGACCCCGCAGCGGGGGCCGACCCCCCGCCCGAUUGGAGAGCCCCGUACCUGGACUACCUCGUCCGCGACGCGCUCCCAGCGAACAAGACGGAGGCACGUAGGAUUGCACGUCGCGCCAAAUCCUUCGUCAUUAUCGACCAAGAGCUCUACAAGAGAAGCCACACUGGGCAUCCUCCAGCGCUGCAUCUGAUCGAGCAGGGAAAGACACUAAUUCAAGACAUCCACGCCAGAGCCUGCGGCCAUCACGCCGCGCCAAGGACCCUCGUUGGCAACGCCUUCCGGCAAGGUUUCUACUGGCUGACAGCGAUCGCCAACGCCACCCACGUGGUCCGCACUUGCGAGGGGUGCCAGUUCUUCAUGCGCCAAACCCAUCUGCCCGCGCAGGCGCUCCAAACCAUCCCCAUCACGUGGCCCUUCGCGGUCUGGGGGCUGGAUCUCGUUGGGCCCUUCAAGAAAGCACCCGGGGGCUUCACCCACCUGCUUGUCGCUGUUUACAAGUUCUCCAAGUGGAUCGAAGCACGACCGAUCGCGCAGAUCAAGUCCGAGCAGGCAGUACAAUUCUUCACUAACAUCAUCCAUCGCUUCGGAAUCCCCAACUCCAUCAUCACGGACAACGGCACGCAGUUCACCGGAAAGAAGUUUCUCCAGUUCUGCGACGACCACCACAUCCGAGUGGACUGGUCGGCCGUGGCACAUCCCCGCACGAACGGGCAGGUCAAACGAGCCAACGGCAUGAUACUCCAGGGUCUCAAGCCACGGAUCUUCGACCGCCUCAAAAAGUUCGGCGGACGGUGGGUCGUGGAGCUCCCCGCAGUCCUUUGGAGUCUGAGGACAACCCCCAGUCAGGCGACUGGCUUCACCCCGUUCUUCAUGAUCUACGGGUCCGAGGCCAUCCUGCCCACCGAUCUGGAGUACGGAUCACCGAGGGUCAAUGCAUACGACGAACAAGAGAACCAGGCAUCGCUCGAAGAUGCACAAGAUCAUCUCGAUGAGGCACGCAAUGUGGCCGUGCUGCACUCGGCCAAGUACCAACAGGCCUUACGACGCUACCACAGCCGCAAGGUGCAAGGCCGAGCCUUCAACGUUGGCGACCUGGUGCUCCGUCUCGUCCAGGAUAACCGGGGUCGGCACAAGCUGACCCCUCCGUGGGAAGGUCCCUUCAUCGUCACGCAGGUACUGCGGCCAGGCACCUACAAGCUGGCGACCCCCGACGGACAAGUCUUCAGCAACGCUUGGAACAUAGAACAGCUAAGGCGUUUCUACCCCUAGAUUUCACUUCCAAGUUCUGUACAUAAACAUUUCUGUACGUUUCAAAAAAAUUUCCGGAAAAAAGAAUUUUGAGUUGGUCCCAUUCAAGUUUCAGUUCGAACUCAGGGAUAUCUGACCCUAGCUCUGCCUCAGGGCCGCAUAUCCCUCGGGGGCUAUCAGGGGCUCCGGCCUAGGCCACUUGACACCCUCUCAAAACGCUUUUUCUUUUCGAGCCGACCCUCUUUCUGAACUUUUGGGCAUGAAAAGGAAAAAGUGCAUGAACGGUGUUCAGGCAAGAUUGAUCGGACUGCAAAAAAACCUAUGCCCCAGCGGCUACGGUGCCCUCGCUCAUCAAAGCUUACUGACACAACCAACGACACGUUCUAAACUUUCCAAGUCUGAAAAACAAGAAAGAGGAUCGAAAACUUUCUCAUGACAAUUUUUAGAAAAGCCUCUAUGGACAUCACAAAAUAAGUCUGAAACUGACGUAUUUACAUCUUGGGCGCCAGCCCGAUACAGUUAACUCGUUUGGGGAUCUUCGGGAGGGACGGCUUCAUCCUCCAGGAGCUUCGCCAAGGCCUCCGCCGGAUUGAGCACCGACGUGUCGAUCUCAUCCAGCUCAGCCUCGGAGUAGCCGGCGGCGUAUCCCCCGCUCAUCCCGGCGAAGUUGAUGCCGGAGUAGUGGGAGUCGAAGACCCCGAAGGCUCGCCUCACGCCGGUGUGGAGCGCCUCCAGGGCGAUCUCGCGGGCUCGGCGGUAGGUCCCGAGGACACGAGUCGCCAGCGAGCUCGUCCCCUCCUCCUGGACCACGCUGAGGCUGUCGCAGAUGACGCGGACCGCAUCCCGCAGGUUGCCGUGCUCAGCGCGCUCCGCGUCGAGCGCCUCCCUCAGCCGGGUGAGCUCACCUGCAAGGAUCACCCAGAAGAACCCACUAAAUAAAAAAAAUAACCGCAACAUCACAAGGACAAAGAAAUGAACAGAGUCUUACCCUCGGACUGGGCCUUUAGCUGGCGCUUCCGGUCGAGCCCCUGGGCCACGGAGGCCUGAAGCUCCCGCGCUUGCGCUGGAAGCUGACCGACCUCCGCCCCAAGGUCGACUGCUGCCUUCUCGGCUUCCUCCUUCUGGACCUUCUCGGCGUUCCGGUCCUGCCAAGCCUUUUGCCGCUCGCGCUGGAUGCGCUCGACGGUCUUCUGAAGGGCCCUUCAGCCGUGCGAGCUCCUCGGCGUCGUGGCGGGCCUUUUCGGCAGCAACCUGGAACUCCUCGCGGUCGCAGUGGGCCCUCUCGGCGACGACCUGGAGCUUGGCCUCUGCCGGCUGCGCAUCCUCCUGAGCCGCUUGCUCGCGCCUCUGCAGAUUGUUGAUGACCUGCUAGGCGGCGGCAACUUGCAUGGACAGCUCCCCGAGCCCCCGCUCCAGCCGAAGGAAAUCGGAUUUCCCCCGACUGCAUUCUUGGAGAGCUUGCAAAACAAUACAACAUCAGGGGUAAAACAACAAGGAGGAUACAACCACCAACGGAGAAGGUACCAUACCUGGCUACCAGGGAGGACGACGCCGUCCAACUGCCCCAACGCCGAGGACAGAGCCGCGCGGACGUUAGCAAGGCCGUCCUGCAUCGCCUGCCACUUGCCCCAUUCCGUGGCAUCAUCCAACGUGAAGAGGGGCCUCUGCGGGUCGUCACGGGACGACCAACGCACGAUGGACCCUCUCCACACCCUGGGAACGGGAGUGGCCGAGGCAGAGGUGGAAGCCGACCUCGACGCCGCCGUCAAAACGGGCUCCACCAUCCCGGAAGCCGCCGGGCUCACCGAUGGUCCCGGGGCACGCGCCCCUGGCCCCGUCGAAGCUGCCGCGGGCCCGCCAGUCAGCGCCACCGCCUCCGACGCGGGCACCGGAGCGAGCGUCCCCGUGGCCGCCUCGCCCUCCGUCUCGACUGUCGAGGCAGGCGUCCCCGCCCCCGUCGGGGCCUCUGGGGCCGGCACCUCUGCCUCCGCCGUCGGUGCCACCUCCGACGGGGCUCUCCGGGCGGAAGUCCCCGCCUCCGUCGCCACCGCCUCCUCUGUCGCAGCCGCCGGGGCAGGCGUCCCAGUCUCCCCCGCUGCCGCUGUCCCCGCCGUGGCCGCGGGGGCAGGCUCUCCUUCCUCCAUCACCGCCACCAUCCCCGUCGCGGCCGCUGGGACAUCUGUCCCCAUCUCCACCGCUUGUACCCAGGGGUGGAUCUGGGCCCCGGGCUGCCCGGGCUGCAUUGGGAGAUAUUGUUUCAUUUUGUAGUUUUAUAAGCUGGACAUACCAUUUAAUUGUAAGGUAUGUGACUCGAUGUGAUGAGAUGAGAUGAAACUCUCUAAUCCCCAAUGCUAGUUUCAUCGAAUUUCAUAGUCUUGGAAACAAUGUAUACAGAGUUUCAUCUUGAUGAAACUACUUCCCUCUCUCUCUUCAUAAUUAGCAUGACAUGUCAUCAAAAUUGCUGAUGUGUUGCAUCAUUAAAUGAGAAUGAAACUCCUAUGAAACCCCCACUAAGAAUAGCCUAAACCCAAAGGUCACUAAGCGGUGUCUGAAAUUAAGAUCAAAUUUUUACGCUCAUUCGGUCAUACUAUAGGAGACGUAUGAACAAAUACUAGAGGUCAAAGCCCGUAAACAGAAGACGACGAGAGGCAAGUACCUGGUAGCAGCGUCACGCGCGUCUUGCUCCCUGAACCACCGCAGCACACCCUCCCACUCGUCGGCCGGCAUGUUGCGCAGUUGCGGGUGAGCAGCCAUCAGCCGCCUCUUCUCCGCCUUGUCAAGCAGCACACCGACGAAGGAACACAGCGCGGCAUAGGCGGAGGACAGCACGGAUCCCAUCGCCGUGGUUCAGCUCGAUCCGGUCUCUGCAAACACUCGAGCGAGCGAGCGAUCGCGCAACGGAACAGGAUCGGUCUCGUCUAUUUGCAGAUUGAUCUCUCUCUAUCAUGUCCAAUUUAUAGGGGAAGGGAAGCCAUCGGAGAAGGCUCAAGAAACCACGCUGCUGCAGUCCGCUUUUUGGAUUCCGAUUCUGAUUGGAUUAGUCCUUCGUUCCAAUCCCUGGUGAGUGGUGACCGAAUCGGGGUGUGGAGGCCGGCGGCGAGAUUAGAGGAGGUAGGUAGGAGAGGCCGAGAGGGCUAGCCGAUGAGGUGGGACCGUGGGAGGAGCGAGCCUGUGGGCCUGUGGAGGCGCUGAACGGGAAGGAUCGCCACGGCUCAAUGCUAGACCUCUUCUCGCAGGCAGAUUUGGCUAUUACUCGUAUUUUAAACACUUAAAAAUAACAUAUUUGAAAUUUUAUAUAUCUCUAAUUUUGGAGUCGCGAAUCAAAAACCUUCCUACUUGAUUACAAAACGUUGACAUGCUAUAUUCCAAAUUUCCAACGUAUCUCUAUUAAAUGACAUAUCUCCAACGUAUUUCCAACGCAAUUUUACCUUCAAGGAUAUAACAUGCCUGAUUCUAUGGUUCUCUUCUUUAUGCCCAUAAAAUUUGACUAAUUACAUUUGUAUGUCCAAAAAUAUCAACAGAGGGGGAAAAAAGUGAGCCCAAUCCUUAACGCUUGCGUUCAUCCAUGCAUCAAGGCAACAACUGUAGUGCGUUUAUAAAAAAAGAGAUAAGAAAGAUAGCAUUUCGAGUUAUAUUAACUUAGUUGUCCCAUGUGAGCAUGCAUUGUCGGAGAGUGUGCAUUGCAACACCUAGAAUUUUCCUAUCUUAUACAUCAUCUAACAACCUACUCAUCAACUUACAUGACAUAUUUUUUGUGACCUAUAUGUAUCCAUUGUAUGUAGGGUAUGUACUAUGAACACUACAUUUUACCUCUAUUUUCUUUUUCAUAACAAGCGCAAUUAACCAACCACGAAACAGCCAAGAACGGAAAACCACGUCACCCUUCACCCUCCGUUGCACAUCCACCGACUCCAGCUAACCCCUUGUUUACUUCACUCCCAACUCCCAACUUUGGCACUAUGCAAAAAGAAGAUUCCCCAUCACAUCAAUCUUGCGGUACAUGUAUGGAGUACUAAAUGUAGAUGAAAUUAAAAACUAAUUGCACAGUUUUGUUGUACUUUGCGAGACGAAUCUUUUGAGCCUAAUUAGUCAAUGUUUGGACAAUAAUUCACAAAUACAAACGAAACGCUACAGUGUUACUACAGUAAUUUGGCACCUUCCAAAUUCGCAAGUAAACAAGGGCUAAUUUCCAUCCUCAUAAAUAGCUCCCAGGCUCUCCUGAAUUAACAACGACGCCUUCCACGUAUUCCCACUCCGCCCCCUUCGUUCUCCCAGAAUUCGCGAAGCAGUCCCUCCGCCCCGACUUUCGUCAGGCUUUUCCCGCCGGGAUGGCCUCCGGUUCAGGAAAGAACCAAGAAGGCAACCAAACCGAAGAACCGGUCGAGAGCGAGGAGUCCAACGCCGCCACCGCCACCGCCACCGCCGCGGCCGCAGAGCCGCCUCCCCCCGCUCCGCCCUCCGAGCGCCUCCAAGAACGGGCCCAUGGGUCACCGGAAGCCGGAGGCCGGAAUUCCUUCGCUGCCACCGCCGCGGAGGCAGCGGCUGCGGCCCAGCGGAAAGGCACGGGGAUCGGGGCUCCUUCCUGCCGGCGCUACGCGGGCGGCAAGCCCCCACUCCCGCCCCUGGCCCCCUCCGUCUCGAGAGCAAGGGAGCCGAAGUCCGCGACCGGCAAGCCCCCACUCCCGCCCCGCGCCGUCCGCGCCUCGAAAUCGAAAGGUAAGAAGCCGAUGUCCGACGCGGAGGUGGUGAAGAGCGGCAUGGAGGUGAGGGCUAAGUGGAAGGAUAUGAGGGAAGGGCGAAUGUAUAUGAAGGACGUGCUCGACGAGCUGUUGGAGGAGAGCAAGGCGAACGCGGAUAUUGACCAGGAAGACGAGCCGGAGGGAACGGCGAUGCAACAGGAGCAGGUGCGGUUUCUUGGAUCUUUCGACUGCGUUCUUGAGUGAUUCCUGCUUGCUUGUGAUUUGGGAAAUCGAAUCCUACCGUUCUUGAGGACCUUGGGGAGGAUUUAGUGGCUGGAGCCAAGGAAUUGUGUGGCAUCCGAGAUUGGGGACUUUGUCUUUCUGUUCUUCUUGCACUAGCAACGAUCUUUCAGUGACUAUGUAGGUGCGCGUUCUUGCGCUGUUGUAUUCAACUCUUCUUGCACUGUUUAGUUUAAUGUCUGAAACUGGCAUGGAAGCCCCAAAGCAUAAAUGUGAAUAGGUGACAAGACUGGAUAAGUUUUGGUUUUCUUUUUUCUGCUCCCUUGUUGGAAUAUUUGACUUCGAUGUUAAUUCUGGAACAGGUGAAGUCAGCAACAAUAUGGCCUGAAAAUUAUUACAAGGGAUCGAUCUGGAGAAAGGUAUUACAUGACUGUAUAUUUCUUACAUUUUUACUUGUAAUUGGUGGCUGGUGCGAGCAGUCUUGUAACAAUUUGUGUUUGAGAUGUGGGGUUGGGAUCUCUCUGUCUUCCAAUAUGAAAUCUUGAGAUGAUAAAGUUAAUUGUGGCAAGAAAUCAUGUACAAAAUGGUGUAGGAUCAGAGGGUAGAGAUAAAAGCAUGGGCAAAUGCUACUGAAUUCAGUUUCUGUCCAUCCCAGAUUAGAUGAUUGUUGGUUACUCAUAGGCCCUCUUGUGAUCUGAUAUGGAAUUUCAAGAAAAUAAAUGAUGUUGUUGUGAUGUGUUCUAAAAUCUCUAAAAACUCUAAGGUGUUAUUACCUGCAUUGAUUUAAUUAACGGCCAGUGUUUGGCUUAUUCUUCAUUUUACGACAAAAUGUAAUGGUAUAUUGAGGGCAAUAUCCUGGUUGCCGUGUUGGUAAGACAACAAGUCAACUUGAAGCCAAGUAUACAUGAUUUAGUGUUGAUGAAUGGUCUAACAGUCUGAAGUUACAGUAUCAUUAGCAAUAUAGACAAUUUUCAGAUAAAUUUCUUUGAAAUUUCUGUAGUACCAUUUUAAAAAGUCACAUUGCCUUUCAAUUGUUUCCUUGUGCAAAAUGUUUCAUCUUGUCAUUAAUUAUUCACUGUUGCUGCUAGUUCUGGCAGAAAUUGUGAAUUUUAACCCAUUUUCUGUUGAAAAGUUUUUGGACAGGAUAGGAAUCUCCGACCUAAAUUCCAGAAUAGCGAAUCCCGAUGUGAACUACGAGGUUUGACUCCUAUACUAUUUAUGCGCCUCUUCUAAUUGAUAGUAUUCGCAUUGGAUGGCAAUUGGACCUAAUUGUCUUUGAAUUUCUAUUGAACUUAGGAAAUGUGGUAUAUGCUCUCUUUUUUUCUUCACUGAACAACAACCAGUCGGUAUCAGCGAAGACAUUACAUUUUUCUAGUGGCUUAAGCUUUUCUUAUAAUGUGGAAACCUGACAACAUAACAAAUUAAAAUUCCUUUUAAGAUCUGUUGCUUCCUGGUUCAGAUCAUUUUGAUUUGAAUUCCUUUGUUCUUCUGUUUGUGCAGACAAUCCCUAUGUUCGACGUCAUUAGGCAUUACAGGCUCCUUGAAAUGGUUGCUGGACGAGGAGUGGAAUUUCAUUCAAAUGCACUGAACCUUCGUCGCACCUAUUCUGAAUUUAGGCCAGUGCGUGGAGAUGGAGAGUGUUUCUACAGGAGCUUCAUAUUUUCCUACCUCGUAAUGUCCCUCCCCCCUUUCCUUAGAAUACGAUUCAUGUUUAGUGGUUCACACUCCGAUUUGUGUCACUGAAAAACAGGAGCAAGUUCUUGAUAGGCAGGAUACACAUGAGGAACAUCGUCUUCUUGUUGCUGUUAAAGAAGUGGCUAGGCAACAUGAGCGCCUUGGGUGGGCCUCCGAAUUUUCCAGAAGCCACAAAGUAAGCUCGCGUUUCUUCACAUUUGUUAUUUCUGAGAUAAACAUGUUAACAGAUGAUUUUCUUCAAGUUAUAUCAAGCUACAAGCUGGAUCUGGCCUCUCACUUUCCUUUUUUUUCUUUCAUCAUUUGCAGGAUGUGCACCAUUGUUUCACAGUAGUGGCAUAGUUACAUGCCAUCAGCAUUUUACACCCUGUUGACAUAUCUUCGAAUUUAAAUUUAUUGAAAAUGUAACAAUCUAAUGCUAAUAGGAAUACAUGUUGAGAUAAGUUUACUUUCACAGAACAGCAAUAAUGAGAUAAAAUUAGAGACAUUAAAGGGCUGCUUUGUGUGGUCAUCUGAUCAUCAGAUCAUAAAUGUUUAAUUUUACCUACUUGCUUAUAUAAUCUUGUCUUUCUCAACUAAUAUCUUAACAGUUGUUGUUUACUGGUAGAAGCUUCAAAGAUGAGUCUUAUGAUGUUCAUAUCUGUUCAUACCUUGCUAUAAACGGUCAGUAUUGUGUAAGUAUUAUUGCAAUAUAUAGUGUUUAUCUGAUUAUCUGAUUCUUUUAGGAAUUUAAGAAGCUGAUAAAGAAAGUAAUGAGAUGGAAGAGACACAGCAGAUGGAAGCACGUACAAACAACUAACAGGUUCUAAUAUGUUUUAUUUUCUGCAAUUCCAUCAGAGUUUUUCUGCCAAUGAAUUUCACGUAGUUAACUGAACAUUUGCCCUUUUUCAGCUACCGCAAAAAGAAACUUCUUCAGUACUUCAACAGCUAUGACAAGACGAACGACAGUGAGUAAAAAGCCCCUCCCCCCUGUGUACCAAGAUUUCCUUCCUCCACUUCUAUCAUAACUCAAUAUUCCAACACAUCACAUUUUGUUGGUCAGUCUUCGCUUUCCUCGGAUUGGUAGCAGCUAUCUGGAUAUCCUCGCACAGUGACGAGUUCGAACCACUUAUCCGUGAGGUCAACAUUCUCACAGAUGUAAGUAUCGCCACUACUUUCCCUUGGGUUCUUGCACUACUUCGUUCUGAAUCUAAAUUGCUAAUGCAUCUGUUUGAGAAAACCUGACAUUACCUCUUUAAAAACAGUGGUGCUUUGUCGAAGUUAUACAGUCGAGGGUCCUCACAGAUCAUAUUCAGAUAACAGCACUUGUCAACGCACUUCGGGUGCCGCUGCGGGUGGAGUAUCUGUUUCAAGAAUUUGGUCAAGACCUCUACACUGGCGAAGGCUCCCAAGACACCAUGCCAGGAAGCACGUGUUCGCCACGUCGUCAUCAUCAAGUACCCCUUGAUCACAAAGUUCCUCAACUGACCAUGCUAUACACGAACCUGCAAUGCAACAUCUUCUUCCCCAGCCCGGAUGCUAUUAUUGAGAACUUUCAUCAGGAGAAAACAAAGGUACAGAGUCCAUGUCUAGCCACUGAUUAGACUGUUGCAUUUAUUUGACUUUGGUUACAUUUGUCCCGCUGAUUCAAUUAAAUUUCAAAUUCUUUGUUUUCUUGCCGUUCUUGGAGUUUAAGAGAAGCUUUAAGGCCAAAGCAGUACAGGCUCUAGAGCUCCCACCUCCUCGGGAUGGAUCUAUUUCAUGCACCAUCUGUGCUGCAGUAAGAAUUGGCUGGUUGGGUUUCCUAUCUGUCCGCAAUUCAGUUCUCAGCUGGAUUGCAGGCUGCUUUGGCAAACGACAACGGCCAACGCCGCCUUCUGAAUUCAGUUGGAUAUCUGUAAUGGGAAAGCCAAUCCUUAAUGAGGAUGGUAAGUUCCACUAAACUUGCUUUUGUUUCCAGUUAACCCCAUAUUGAUGUCGCUCUUAGAUACAUGGCUAAUGACUGAACAAAUGCGUUGCUUCUACGCGUCAGGAAGCUGCACAAUUGCAUCAUGCACGAUGUGCAUCGAAGCACAACACAGGCUUGCUUUUGAGAGGGUAAAUGGCAGAGGAUCUUUUACUUUCAAAGCAAAGGUCCCUGCAGAACUUAAAAAGGCUUGCUCCAAGCGUGGAAUUUGGAACCGCGAAGAUGGGGCUGAUAUUCGUGAGAUUCUGAAGGCGAUUGCUCAAAAAGGCGGUGUGCUAACUGAACGCGUGCCUAAUAAUAUCAAGCUACCAAUAAGUGGUUAUCAUUGUUUGCAUGAUAUCGGUGGCUUUCAGUUAAUGAGGCUUAUCUGUGCACAUGGUCCCGUAAUUGGAAUACUAUGGGCAGAACUUGAUGAUUAUGACAGAGCCAUUGGUGACAUUGUUUAUAGACGAACACCAAUGGAGUAUAGGUUUCCUAAUUCUGGCGCCUACCAUGCUGUUGUGUGCUUUGGCUACAAGUAUGACCCUCAAAGGGAAGAACUGCACAUACGAGUUAUGGACAAUCAUGCUGAAGAUGGUCCUCUCAGAUGGAUAUCAUUUGCAGCAUUAGAGGAGUUUUACCUGCCUUUGAUACCAGAACCUGUUGAACUUCAUAAGUUACGCAGGAAGAAGAAAAGGGAAGAGCAUAGUGUAUCAGCCUAUGUCACCCAUAGUAUGGUCACUUUGGAGAAGAAGCUCAUGACGUGGAUCAGAUGCCGUGAGCUUGACAGGUUCUACAAGCCUAGGCAGCAAGAUGUUUUUCUGCUGGACAAUAAGUUGCGACAUGGACCAGAGCACCGCCAGUCCCGGACAGCGACUUCUAACAAGAGGUAGAGAGCCUGACCAAGUCAAGACAAGGGAGGUAGCUGCAGUGGUGAGAAAUCAGGUGAGAAGUGAGAACCCAAAUCAACACACUGCUCGGGGAAACUGAGUCCGACUGCUGCCUGUGAGUAUGAUGAGCAUUACUAAGUGAAAGAGGUAGAUGGAGAAUUAGGCAUACACUGACGAGAUAGAUAGGCGUAUACUUGUGUAUACUUCUUCUGAUGGCACAAACUGCUGGUGCCAAUAGGAUGAUCUGUAGCUGCGCUGCUCCAUUGUAAAGUCCCGACUUGGUACAUUGAUUCUUUUGUGAAUUGUGAUCACAUUCUCUUAACUACUGCUUCCUGAGAUAAUUGAUUCUUUUGUAAAUUGUGAUCACAUUCUGUUAAGUACUAGCUUCUUGAGAUAACUUUAUUGUCUAACAGCUUGCUCUGUAACUCUGUUGAAGUAGUAUAAUGUUCAUGCAGCUUAAUACAGAUCCCUGUUCGAUCAUAGUAGACUGCACUUUUCAUGGCGUGGGUGGAUUUCAUUGCAGAUACAAGAAAUAUAUAUACAUACAUACAUAUAUAUAUAUAUACAUAUAUAUAUAUAUAUAUGUAUGUAUGUAUGUAUGUAUGUAUGUAUGUAUGUAUGUAUGUAUGUAUACACACACAUUUAUGUUGAUUAUGCACAAAGGGUAAAAUAGGGAAACAAGUAGUUUUGAAUUCUCUAGGCCAGCCAAAUGCCAUGAUCCAAGCAAGCCUCAUGAACAGACUGCUCUUCUGGGUGCUUGCUCUGGAUUACUACUUCUGUAAGUCCACUAUAUUAUCCUGCUACCCUCUCAUUUUGUUUGAGAGAUCAAUUUGGAUUGUUUACUCCUGUGGUGAGUACUUUCUCUUAUCUUAGGUUACUGCUGUUCUUGGCAAUACUAAUACUAAUAUUUUCGUGAGAAGAACACAUACACCCAUACAGUGAUAUAAUUGCAUUCAGCUACAAUACUGCUGUUGUUGGGAUCCAUCUACUAUUUUGUUUAUAGAAGAAAUAUUCUUGCUGCUCCGUUCCCGCAUCUUCCGCCGAUCUUGCGAUCUUCCAGCCUUGUUCGGUUGCAUAGGGGUUGAUAAGGAUUGGUAUGGCAGGAAACAUAGUUCUAACUCUUUGCUAUUUUUUUUGCCAAUCACUUGGCAAAAUACAAGCCGACAAUACGAACCCAAAAGGUGGUUGCCAGCGAGAUCAAGAUUGAUUUCAGACUCCUAUAGAUGUGUGGAAAAUAUGAUGUACAAAUGAUAGAGGCCCGAAGCCUAGGAACAGAAGAAAUUAAAGAACAAAAAGGCAACAUCAAACUAAUGUUUUAAUCAUGGUACGAUAGGAACACAGAUCACACGAACAAAAACACUUGCAGCUAAUAUAAUACGUCUAUCUCCCCUCAAUUAAACAUUUUUUGCCACCUUGUUCUUGUCAGCAUCAACCCUUGCACGGAUGCUUGUAAUUGCAGCGCCGGGUCGGCCUCAGAUCACGACCUCUCAACCUGAAUAUAGAGAGGAUAUCAAUCAAAACGUGUUCGUAUUACCAUAAUAAACAUACUAAGAUUCACUAGCUUUGCAAGCAAUUGCACUCCUAAUCAGAGAAGAAGACGAUAGGUAAGUACCUGGCAGCAGCGUCACGCGCGUCUUCCUCCGUGUCUUGGUCCCUGAACCAACGCAGAAGAUUCUCCCGCUCCUCGGCGCGCAGAUGCGGGUAAGCAGCCAUCAUCCGCCACAUCUCCACCUUGUCAAGCAGCGCGCCGACGAAGGAACACAGCGCGGCGUAGGUGGAGGACAGCACGGAUCCCAUCGCCGCGCUUCGGCUCGAUGCGGUCUCUGCAGACACUCGAGCGAGCUAGGGCGGCUUGACUGCACAGGAUCGGUCUCGUCGGUUCGCAGAUUGGUCUCUCGAUCCUGUCCAAUUUAUAGGGGAGAGGAAGCCGUGGU